AGCAGCCGCGGUAAUUCCAGCUCCAAUAGCGUAUAUUAAAGUUGUUGCAGUUAAAAGCUCGUAGUUGAAUUUCGGGAUCAAUGCGUCGGUCGUGCUUUCGGGUACGUACUGGUGUCAUUGGUUUCUCCUUUCGACGAGCCGUGAUGUCAUUAAUUUGGUGUUACGGGUAGUUAGGACUGUUACUUUGAAAAAAGUUAGAGUGUUUAAAGCAGGCAUUAGCUUGAAUACAUUAGCAUGGAAUAAUGAAAUAGGACGUUCGAUCCUAUUUUUGUUGGUUCUAGGAUCAACGUAAUGAUUAAUAGGGAUAGUUGGGGGCAUUAGUAUUCAAUUGUCAGAGGUGAAAUUCUUGGAUUUAUUGAAGACUAACUACUGCGAAAGGCAUUUUGCCAAAGGAUGUUUUCAUUAAUCAAGAACGAAGGUUAGGGGAUCGAAGACGAUCAGAUACCGUCGUAGUCUUAACCAUAAACUAUGCCGACUAGGGAUCGGAUGAUGUUAAUUUUUUCAAUGACUCAUUCGGCGC
rnacentral:rRNA from 1 species